CUGAGACACCCAGGCCCCCAACCUGGGGGUUUUAAUAGCAGCCAGCCACGAACUUUUUCUGUCCUGGGGCAGAAUGUUCACUUCUCUCCCCUCCCUCUCUUCCUCCCUUCCUCCCUUCCUCCCUUCCUUUCUUCUUUUCCUUCUUUCGUUCAUUAUUUACUUUUCCUUCUAAGCCAAGCUUAUCAGGAUUUCAGCAAGUCACUUUGCCUCUAAGACCCUGUAAAUUGCUGAGACUUCAUAACAAGGUGUUCAUCUUAGAAGCUUACAAAC
rfam:Felis catus isolate Cinnamon breed Abyssinian chromosome A3, whole genome shotgun sequence.